UUGGACCUCGGAUCGGGUAGGGAUACCCGCUGAACUUAA
rnacentral:rRNA from 1 species